UGCCGCGUGAAUGAUGAAGGUCUUAGGAUUGUAAAAUUCUUUCACCGGGGACGAUAAUGACGGUACCCGGAGAAGAAGCCCCGGCUAACUUCGUGCCAGCAGCCGCGGUAAUACGAAGGGGGCUAGCGUUGCUCGGAAUUACUGGGCGUAAAGGGAGCGUAGGCGGAUAGUUUAGUCAGAGGUGAAAGCCCAGGGCUCAACCUUGGAAUUGCCUUUGAUACUGGCUAUCUUGAGUACGGAAGAGGUAUGUGGAACUCCGAGUGUAGAGGUGAAAUUCGUAGAUAUUCGGAAGAACACCAGUGGCGAAGGCGACAUACUGGUCCGUUACUGACGCUGAGGCUCGAAAGCGUGGGGAGCAAACAGGAUUAGAUACCCUGGUAGUCCACGCUGUAAACGAUGAGUGCUAGUUGUCGGCAUGCAUGCAUGUCGGUGACGCAGCUAACGCAUUAAGCACUCCGCCUGGGGAG
rnacentral:rRNA from 1 species